GAGGCAAGUUUGCCCUAAGGGGUUCCCAGCCUGACAUUUCCCUUUAGUUUAGUGAUUUGGGGACCCCAAGAUUUAUUUUCCUUUCACAACUAUUUAUCCCAGCUACUCGGGAGG